AAUGAUCAACUACUGAGGUACAAAAAAAUAUGUGCAGGUACAGAAAAUCCCUACUUACUACUCCCUGUGCUGGUCUGAGGAUUGAACUAUCACAUUUUCCACACAUCUAUUAUGCAGCAGCUCACCUCAAGUUAACCUUUCCAAGAGAUUUUUGGCAUGAUGGAUUGAGCAAAUGUUCCAGCAUGCGAUACGCUUGUGUCUUACUCACAGUUGCCACAUCCAGUUCGUCUGGGAAGUGGACCAGUGUGAUAUCCAUAACGCAUGAAAGUAUUCACAAAAAUCCUCUCCAAACACCAAAUGAAUAAGUCUAGUUAUAAAGUGGCUUCACCAUGCAAUACUUGUUGUUGUUGUUUUAAAGAGUGCUAUAACUCAACCUGUAUGCUCUGCUGGUGGAUCUGUACCAUACUACUAUUGCUGCUACUGAGUAGGGGCAGCCCUACUAUUGGGCAAAGCGAGACAGCUGCCUCAGGCAGCAGACGCUGAAGAAUUGGGAGUGGCUGUGAGAAGUUGAAGAAUAGAGCUCUGUGCCACACAGCUUGCCCUGAACCUCUUAAGCCAGCCUGCAGUGAAGGACACUAUCACCAGUAUUGAAAUAAGAGAUGAUCAAGAUGCUGAAGUGAGAUGAAAAGAGAAACAAAGGAAAAACCCCUGGCAAACUUGGGUCCUGGGUAAGGGGACCUUACAAAAUGGUUCUCUCAGUUGAAGUGGUGCAGUAUGCUAUAUUACCUGAUUCCACUUCAUAUAAGCCAGGCUUUAAGGCAGGGAUGGACAACCAAUGGCCCUGAAGAUGUUGUUGAACUA